rfam:Ixodes scapularis strain Wikel colony gcontig_1107728607798, whole genome shotgun sequence.
GGCCGGCAACUCAGUCGGUAGAGCAUGAGACUCUUAAUCUCAGGGUCGUGGGUUCGGGCCCCACGUUGGGCG